CUUGUUAGGUAACUCUGACCACGCCCAUGUGGGUGUGGUCAUUGGUACCUGUGACCUGCGGAAAGUGGACUUAGUCAUUCCUACCUCUAAUCCUAGUCUCUCCUUAAAAUUCCCCUUUUGGUCUAAGUAGGAUUUAAAUUUAACAGUGGAAGUUAUCUAUAAUUACCAAUCAUAAAGUUAAAUUACAUGAAAAAAAAUCUUUUUUUUUUUUGUUUUUUUUGAGAUAUGGUUAACAAUCCCUUAAAUGCUACCCCAUCAGAUAAGCCAGGUGAAGGAGAGCCCUGUGCCUGCCUCAUUCUUCCUGAAUACCUUGUUAGGUAACUCUGGCCACGCCCAUGUGGGUGUGGUCAUAGGUACCUGUGACUUUCGGAAAGUGGAUUUAGGCAGUAUAACUCUAAUCCUGGUCGCUACUCAAAAUUCCACUUUUGGUCUAAGUAGGAUUUAAAUUUAUCAGUGGAAGUUAUCAAUAAUUACCAAUCAUAAAGUUAAUUUACACGAAAAAAAAUAAUCUUUUUUUUUUGAGAUAUGGUUAAUAAUCCCUUAAAUGCUUCCAGAUCAGAUCAGCGAGGUGAACGAGAGCCCUGUGCAUGCCUUCCUUCCUGAACCCUUGUUAGGUAACACUGACAUUGCCCAUGUGGGUGUGGUCAUUGGUACCUGUGACCUUCGGUAAGUAGACUUAGUCAGUUCUACCUCUAAUCCUAGUCUCUCCUUAAAAUUCCCCUUUUGGUAUAGAGUAGGAUUUAAAUUUAACAGUGGAAGUUAUCUAUAAUUACCAAUCAGAAAGUUAAAUUACAUGAAAAAAAAAUAAUGCUUUUUUUGGGUUUUUUGAGUUACGGUUAAUAAUCCCUUAUAUGCUUCCCCCAUCAUCUCAGCCAGGUGAACGAGAGCCCUGUGCAUGACUUUUUCUUCCUGACACCCUUGUUAGGUAACUCUGACCACGUCCAUGUGGGUAUGGUCAUUGGUACCUGUUAACUUUGAAAAGUGGAGUUAGUCAGUCGUACCUCUAAUCCUGGUCUCUCCUUAUAAUUCCCCUUUUGGUCUAAAUGGGAUUUAUAUUGAACAGUGGAAGUCGUCUAUAAUUAACAAUCAUAAAGUUAAAUUACUUGAAAAAAAAAAUUUUUUUUUCAGUUUUUUGAGACAUGGUUAAUAAUCCCUUAAAUGCUUCCAUAUCAGAUCAGCCAGGUGAACUAGAGCCUUGUGCAUGCCUUUCUUCCUGAAACCCUUGUUAGGUAACUCUGACCACGCCCAUGUGGGUGUGGUCAUUAGUACCUGUGACCUUCAGAAAGUGGACUUAGUCAAUCCUACCUCUAAUCCUGGUCUCUCCUUAAAAUUCCCCUUUUGGUAUAAACACGACAUAAAUUUAACAGUGGAAAUUAUCUAUAAUUACCAAUCAUAAAGUUAAAUUACAUGAAAAAAAAACUUUUUUUUUUUUGUUUUUUUUGACAUAUGGUUAACAAUCCCUUAAAUGCUUCCCCCAGAUAAGCCAGGCGAAGGAGAGCCCUGUUCGUGCCUCAUUCUUCCUGAAUCCCUUGUUAGGCAUCUGAAUGCGAUGUCCAAGUCUGAAUAACUCCUUCCAAAUCCAAUAGUGAACUAUCCUGGAGCCUUCUUCGAGUAGCUGCUGGAAGAAGUGAGUGAGCUUUCCCUAUAACGAGAUUGAUGCCUAUUUCAUAUGCCAUCCUAGAGCCUUCAUCCAGUAGCUGCUUGAAGCAGAAGUGAAUGCCUGUCCUUUAUACUGACACUGAUGAGUUAUUAUAGAUGAUUACAAAGUGGAGUCAGAAAUAGAUUGAUAACCACUAGUUUUUUGGGGAAUAUACUCAUGCUAUGUAGUUAAUCACCAGGUUUGAACCUGAGCAGCAAGGACCCAGCAAUGCUUCCAAUCAGCUCAGCCAGCUCUCUGUCUCAAGUCCCCCUGCAGUUUCAAGGGGCCUGUGGGGUGUGCAAAGGUAAGUACAGCUUAAAAUCCACACAUUUAAACAAACACCACCUUAGAAGUCUCAGUUCUCUCCCUGAGAAUUCAGCCAGUGCUGCAUGCCUCCCAGGGCCACCAGGCAAGUUGCAAACAGGUACAUACAUAUCCCCCAGCCCCUAUCAAACAAAACAUAGACGCAGCAGCCAACAGCUGUUACUUGAAUUAUCCGUUUUUCCCGGAAACCUCUAAAAGAGUUGGAGUGGAUAGACAAGACAGGGCUGGCCAUCGUCCACAAAACAAAAGGCGCCUGGCAGGCCAGGGCCCCCGAGUGAUUUAGACAGCAUGCUCCACAGCUCAACAAGGCAGCCUGCAGCCCAGGGGGCUCAGUUCAGGGACCCCCACCAGGUCCUGGUCCACUAGAUGGCACUCUCUGCUAUCUGUCCAGGACAGAUCCCCCUCCCCAAGGUGCUCAGGCCACAGCCGCAGCCGCAACACCCAGGCAAUUCUAAAACAUCAUCUCCACAUGUCGUGCAAAACGCAGGGGCUUUUCUCCCUGCAUCCACCCCAGCCCAGCAGCAGAAACACAGAGAGCGAACAUUUCAUAACAAUUUGCUGAGAGCAAACACUAGACAGCCCACUCCCCUUUUAAAUCUCCGUCCCAGCUACAUCUGAUUGCUCAUUCUUUUUUACAGAUGAGAGGCUGCUGAGGGGUCAGGUAUUUGCCCAAGAUCGGCUAGUAAGCAGGACCCGGGGCUCCAACCCAGGGUCGAUCAUUCUCAGAAGGCUUUGCCCUGUUCUCAGCAUCCAGACCUAUUGCCUGGGACAGAAUGGGAGGGAGGAUGUCUGGUGCCUCGUCGUCUCCACCCCCCGAGGAAUGUCCCUGUGUGCACGGCAGGCUGCAUGGUGCUCGCUCGAAUGGAUGCCCUAAUGUGCAUGGAGACCAGCCUGCUGGUUGAGACCUUGGCAGUGACCACUGUGGGUGAUGAGCCAUGGGCCAAUAACUCCAUGUGAGCCUCUCUCUAAUAUUGAAGAUUUAUAUAUCUUAACGGGCAAGAACCAAAAAGAUUCAAUGACAUGCACCGGCUGGUGCUUGUCCGAGGCUCUGUGGGCCAGGAGAAAAGGAACUCAGUUUGUGCUAACUUCACCAAGUGGAUGUGCCGCCUCCAAGUGAAUCAUCCUGGGACGCCAAAGGUCUGUUUUUUUACCUCUGUGGGUAAGAAAAGAAGAGAUUGAAGAGAUUUAUAAUGAGCGCGGCUGGUGUGGCUUCAUGAUUACCUUCUGGGGAAGAUCUUGCCUGUUUACCUCUGCAUAAGGAAGGAAGACACAGAUGGUCAAAGGAUCACACAGGCAUGCAGAUGUCUCCAUCUAUACCAACAUUUGAAAGACAACUUCAGAGACAGAGUCAUCAUCUCCUUCCUCCUACCUAGGUUCACUUAGAAGAUUUUCCUCUCCCCUGAAAAGCAGGUGCUCACCACUCAGAAGCUUCUGUCUGUUUUAAAGACUGGGCCACGCUCAAACUCUACACUUACUUUGGGUGUUUACAGAAGACCCAAACCCGUGUGAGUACUAUUCAAAAUUGUUGUUUCCUUUCCUCAAAGCGAUGCUCUAUGUUACUACAGAGUAUCGAGUUUAUCUGAGCAAGGGACUUGCUUAUGCCAGAAGAGAAAAGAAAAUCAUAGGCACUUUUAUUGUUAAACAGCAAACAUGCACAUAUUGCUAGAGUAGAGACAGGUAGUAUGGACCAAUGAUGACCAGGCUGGCGGCUUUCUAAGUCAUGCAUUGACGAUGGCUACAUCACUUCCUGUCUGAGGUUCACAGCAUCACACACCUCACACCUCCCUCUUAGCCAGGUGACAAAAGUUAGACAUGUGGAGCACAUGCUGGACAUUAGAAUCAGGCACUUUCAUGCAUGUCCUCAGUGCAUUAAUAUAACAUGAUAUAAAUAUACACAUAAAUGCAAAUACAUUUAGUGAGGCAUUGAUCACUUAGAAAAUAACUAUUAGACCACUAAUGGCAUUGCUUCAUGCAUAAAUUCUGGGGUCAGUUUAGCAAUAAUUGGCAUAAAUAUGUAUAUAAACAUUAGGCAAGUUCAUAUAUGAUAUAUAAUUAAUGGAUUAAGCCCCAGAUACGGUCACCUCCUUCCUUGCUUGUUUAAGACACCAUCAACAAUUUGAAUCCUAAAUAACAGUAGUGAAAGGGAAAUUGUGGAAAUGAUUUGAAACAUCAAUCUUUUUUUAUCUUCCUUGCUCUGUCUUCCCCGAAUGGAUGCUGAGUGACACACUGUUGCCUGGCUGGCAGGUCCAUGGUUGCCCUAUUCCCGUGUGAGAUCAUCCAGAAAACUGAUCUAACACUUUCAUCUGCAUCCUGAAGUCCACACAUAUCCUAGGGUUUGGGAGUUCGGGGGGCCAUUGCUCACCACUCAGAAGCUUCUGUCUGCUUUAAAGACUGGGCCACGCUCAAACUCUACACUUACUUUGGGUGUUUACAGAAGACCCAAACCUGUGUGAGUAACAUUCAAAAUUGUUGUUUCCUUUCCUCAAAGCGAUGCUCUAUGUUACUACAGAGUAUCGAGUUUAUCUGAGCAAGGGACUUGCUUAUGCCAGAAGAGAAAAGAAAAUCAUAGGCACUUUUAUUGUUAAACAGCAAACAUGCACAUAUUGCUAGAGUAGAGACAGGUAGUAUGGACCAAUGAUGACCAGGCUGGCGGCUUUCUAAGUCAUGCAUUGACGAUGGCUACAUCACUCCCUGUCUGAGGUUCACAGCAUCACACACCUCACACCUCCCUCUUAGCCAGGUGACAAAAGUUAGACAUGUGGAGCACAUGCUGGACAUUAGAAUCAGGCACUUUCAUGCAUGUCCUCAGUGGAUUAAUAUAACAUGAUAUAAAUAUACACAUAAAUGAAAAUACAUUUACUGAGGCAUUGAUCAGUUAGAAAUUAAAUAUUGGACCACUAAUGGCAUUGCUACAUGCAGAAACUUUGGAACUCACUGAAGAAAUAAUUGGCAUAAGAUGUGUAUAAACUUCAUCCAAGUUCACAUAUGAGAUAUAAUUAAUGGAUUAAGCCACAGUGAGAGUCAACAUCUCAAUUUUAAAUCUUUAGUUGAUUCUCUAAGAAACCAUCAUCACAAUUUAAUUUGUAAAUAACAAGUAGUGAAAGGAAAAUGCAGAAAUGAUUUGAAAAGGUCAAUCUUUUAAUUAUCUUCCCUGCUCUGUCCUCCCUGCAUGGAUGCUGAGUGACUCACUGUUGCCUGGCUGGGAGGUCCAUGGUUGCCCUAUCCCCAUGUGUGAGGAUCCAGAGAACUGAUGUGAAUUUACCCUUUCAUCUGCAUCCUGAAGUCCACGGUUAGCCUAGGGUUUGGGAGCUCGCGGGCCAUUGGUCAUCCCUCAGAAGCAAUGGCUUCAGUCUGCUUUAAACACUGGGCCACCCUCAAACUCUACACUUAAUCUUGGUGUUUACAGAAGACCCAAAGCUGUGUGAGUAAUAUUGAAAAUUGUCUUCUUUUCCUCCAUGGGAUGAUGCUCUAUAUUAUUAUAGAGUAUAGAUUGUCUCUGAGUAAAGGAUUCACUUAUUCUGAAAAACAAACAAAGUUAUAGUUGUUUGUUAAACAACCAACAUGCACAUAUUGCUAGAGUAGAGACAGGUAGUAUGGACCAAUGAUGACCAGGCUGGCGGCUUUCUAAGUCAUGCAUUGACGAUGGCUACAUCACUUCCUGUCUGAGGUUCACAGCAUCACACACCUCACACCUCCCUCUUAGCCAGGUGACAAAAGUUAGACAUGUGAGCACAUGCUGGACAUUAGAAUCAGGCACUUUCAUGGAUGUCCUUAGUGCAUUAAUGUAACACGACAUAAAUAUACAUAUAAAUGCAAACACAUUUAUUUAGACAUUGAUCACCUAGAACUUAAAUAUUGGACCACAAAUGCAUUGCAACAUGCAUAAAAUAUGGUAGUCAGUUAAGAAAUAAGUGGCAUAAGAUGUUUAUAAAUGUCAUUCAAGUUCACAUAUGAUAUAUAAUUAAUGGACUAAGCCCCAGAUAGGGUCACCUCGUUCCUUGCUUCUUUAAGAAACCAUCAACAAUUUGAAUCCUAAAUAAUGGGUAGUGAAAGGGAAAUUAUAGAAAUGAUUUGAAAACAUCAAUCUUUUUAUUAUCUUCCCUGCUCUGUCCUCCCCGCAUGGAUGCUGAGUGACACACUGUUGCCUGGCUGGGUGUUCCUUGGUUGCCCUAUUCCCAUGUGUGAGCAUCCAGAGAAUUAAUGUAAGUGGAGUUAAAGUUCUUGUCCUUUUGGGUGGCCUUGAUAAGACACUACUGUCUUGGUAAAGGCAUGCAUAGGUUCCUGUUAGGAAAACUGUGACUGUGAGCUGAAUUUAAAAUGGCCAUGACACAGUGCUGACGUCCCCGAAAUUAAGAGAAGAGACAGAAUCAGGGUGGCACAAACUGUUGGAUUACCACAGUAUCUCAGGAUUUUGUGACCAAUAGUUAUGUAACUAGAACAAGAGACACAGAUAGUUAGGUAAUAAUAACACAGAGAAAGAGGAAGGCAAAGGUGGUGUUGGAUCAAUUAUGACCACUGAUGAUGUAUGAUCCGGGAUCAUGAAUACAGGUGUGGGAGUCUGAGGUUCACAGGAGAACACAUGUAGUGUGGGUUGAGACACAGAUGUCAGGUGUUGUAUAUUGAGUGUGUGUCAUAAUAUUUUUGUGGAGGAGAUUUCAUUGUACUGUAUAUACAUAUGGAUGUAGAUAUAUACAUAUACAUAAAUAUAUUUACAUAUGAAUGAAAGAGUUUCCGGCAUUCGCCAUAAUAAUUCUAAAUCUUAAUAUUAACACUAUGUAUAUAUAAUGCACAGAAGCCUUCUAGUAAUAAAUGUGCAGAGUUAGAAUACCUAAGCUGAGGAUGUUCUGUUUUGUUUAAGCAGUGUCUAACCUUCUUGGUAGGAUUACAACUGGGUCUCCUGUGCAUAUUAUCAAGAAAAAUAUAUUAUAAUUUUAUAUAUUAGAUGACUAAAAUAAAAUAGAUACAACACUAGGGACAUGGUACAGAAGAAGAUUGUGUUUUAAUCCUUUCUUCUUUUCAUCUCUGUGGAUAUUCCAAAGCUGAGUUACCCUACCGUCUGUAUCAUGAGGUCCACGACUAGCCUAGGGUCUUGGGAGCAUAGGGGGGCAUGUAAGUAUAGUUCAUGUUCUUGUGUUACUUUGACUGCUACUCCUUAUUGUUAAAUAAGUUACAAAUUUUUCAGUAAUGACCCAGCUGGUAGUGACAGAUGAAAAAUAACUUGAUACACUUAAUGUCUUUAAUAUAAAAUGAUCUGAUGACAUACUUAUGAUCCAGGAAUUGCAGUAAAACGUACAUAGGAACAUAUUUGAUACCUUAACUUUAUAUGUCCAUAUCAUCAUAAGUCUAUCUGUCUGUCUGUCUGUCUGUCUGCCUGCCUGUCUGUCUGUCUGUCUGUCUGUCUGUCUAUGCAUCCAUUCAUUUAUCCAUCAACUAUAUUUCAUCUCCAUAUAUCUCUCUAUAUAUUGUCUAAAUGAUAUCAUCUGACAUUAAUAUCGUCAUUUUUCUGUGGAAUCACAACUGCAGUGGCCGUGUCAUAACUGUAGAAAAAGCGUAUUGUUAUCUCAGUUAAGGAAUCCAAAGUGGUGCCUAGUGCUGGCCUAUUGUGAAACACGUAGAUGGUUGAGGUGCUCCCAUCUGACUCUCUAGAAAGCACAAAUAAAUUUAGCCAUUUAUCAUUUUCCUUGGUGUUUGCGUUCAUGUAUUUAGACAUACCUUAACAUACAGUUUUUAUGCUUUCCUUGAAGUUUUGGGGAUAAAGUAUCCUAUAUGCAGGCAGAAGGCUCCAUGUAUACUUAUGUUUGACAGACUGUUGGGGAGACUGAUUUAGGAUCUAUUUUCUUCUACCUAGGUUCAUUCAGUGUAUAUGGAUGGCCCCUGAUGUAUAGGUGGUGUGUAACUUGACAGACACAUGGACCAGUUUUGGUUUUCAUUUUAUUGUAUGAUGUUCAGUUGUAGGGAAGUUAAUAUGUGACUCAGUGGCUUUUCAGUGAGCUUGGUUACAACACUCCAGUACACGGUUAGGCACAAUCAAUUUUUGUUAAGUUUCCCUGGCUAUAAACAUUUGAGUAUAGUCUGAUUCUCCUUAUCUAUCCACUCUUUUAAUAUUUCUGGUUUUUUAAACUGGUUUUUACUCCUUAGGAUAUAUACACAAACACCUGUGAUGCUCAGGCAAAGCAAGGAAUGUGUUGUUAUCUCUCUUGAGUCCUAGAUCCUAAAUCUGUGCUCAUAGCUGCUGCCUUCAUAGUUCAUCUUGGGUCUUUGCUUUAGUAUUUAAAGGAAAUAAAGUUUGAUAUCCUUAAGUUUUUCAAACUGAAUCACAAAAAAAUAUCCAGGAAGUUUGUGGUGCAUAUCUUUAUCCCAGCAUUCAGGACACAGAGAUACCAGGAUCUCUGUGAGUUUGAGGUCAGUCUGAUCAACAAACUAUGUGGCAGCACACACUCAUAAGCUACACAGAGAAACCCUGUCAUGAAAACAAAACAAAGCAAAAAAUUUUCAUUAAAAUUUUGCAACCUAAAAUGGACCAGACACAAAGUUUUAAAUAUUAUUAAAUGAAAACAUAAGUGAAUACUUAUAGCUAUUACCACAGAUUCACAAACAUGUACAGAAGAUGUUUUACAAAGGCUACAUAAGUUAAGUCAAUAAAUUUUCAUCAUCCACAGUGGUCAUCCCUCAGAAGCAAUGGCUUCAGUCUGCUUUAAACACUGGGCCACCCUCAAACUCUACACUUAAUCUUGGUGUUUACAGAAGACCCAGAGCUGUGUGAGUAAUAUUCAAAAUUGUCUUCUUUUCCUCCAUGGGAUGAUGCUCUAUAUUAUUAUAGAGUAUACAUUGUCUCUGAGUAAAGGAUUCACUUAUCCUAAAAAACAAAAUAAAGUUAUAGUUGUUUGUUAAAUAGCAAACAUGCACAUAUUGCUAGAGUAGAGACAGGUAGUAUGGACCAAUGAUGACUAGGCUCGGCGGCGAUCUAAGUCAUGCAUUGACGAUGACUACAUCACUUCCUGUCUGAGGUUCACAGCAUCACACACCUCACACCUCCCUCUUAGCCAGGUGACAAAAGUUAGACAUGUGGAGGACAUGCUGGACAUUAGAAUCAGGCACUUUCAUGCAUGUCCUCAGGGAUUAACGAAACAUGAUAUAAAUUAUAAAUAUACCUAUAAAUGCCAAUACAUUUAGUGAGGCAUUGAUCCCUUAGAAUAUAACUAUUAGACCACUAAUGGCAUUGCUACAUGCAUAAAAUCUGGAAGUCAGUUAAGAAAUAACUGGCAUAAAGAUGUUUAUAAACAUCAUGCAAGUUCACAUAUGAUAUAUAAUUAAUAGAUUAAGCCCCAGAUAGGGUCACUUCAAUCCUUGAUUCUUUAAGACACCAUCAACAAUUUGAAUCCUAAAUAACAGGCAUUCACCUUUUGUAAAACAGGUGAAAGGGAAAGUGUAGAAAUGACUUGAAAACAUCAAUCUUUUUCUUAUCUUCCCUGCUCUGUCCUCCCCGCAUGGAUGCUGAGUGACACACUGUUGCCUGGCUGGGAGGUCCAUGGUUGCCCUAUUCCCGUGUGAGAGCAUCCAGAAAACUGAUGUAAGUGUAAUUAAUGUUCUUGUCCUGAUUUGGGCGACCUUGAUAAAACUCUUCUCUCUUGGUAAAGGCAUGCAUAGGUUCCUGUUAGGAAAACUGUGACUGUGAGCUCAAUUUAACAUGGCCAUGAUACAGUGCUGGGGGCUCCGAAAUUAAGAGAAGGGACAGAGAGUCAGGGCAGCACAUACUGUUGCAUUACCCACAUGUAGUGUGGGUUGUGACACAGAUGUCAGGUGUUGUAUAAUGAGUGUGUGUCAUAUUUAUGUUGAUGAGUUUUCAUUGUAUUAUAUAUAGGUAUAUACACAUAUACAUAUAUGUAUAUAUAUGAAUGAAAGAGUGUCCAGCAUUCUCCAUAAUAAUACUAAACGUUAAUAGUAACAGUAUUUAUGUAAUUCUCAGAAACCUUCUAGUAAUAAAUGUGCAGAGUUAGAAUACCUAAACUGAGGAUGCUCUGUGUUGUUUAAAGCAGUUUCUAAUGUUCUUGGUAGGAUUACAACUGGG
rnacentral:lncRNA from 1 species